rnacentral:rRNA from 1 species
UACGUAGGUGGCAAGCGUUGUCCGGAUUUAUUGGGUUUAAAGGGUGCGUAGGCGGCUUUGUAAGUCAGUGGUGAAAUAUGGCAGCUCAACUGUCAGGGUGCCAUUGAUACUGCGGAGCUUGAGUACAGAUGAGGUAGGCGGAAUUGACGGUGUAGCGGUGAAAUGCUUAGAUAUCGUCAAGAACACCGAUAGCGAAGGCAGCUUACUGGGCUGUAACUGACGCUGAGGCACGAAAGUGCGGGGAUCAAACAGG